UACAGGGGGUGCAAACGUUGCUCGGAAUCAUUGGGCGUAAAGCGCACGUAGGCGGUUCGUUAUGUCGGAUGUGAAAGCCCUUGGCUUAACCGAGGAAGUGCAUCCGAAACUGGCGAGCUAGAGUACGAAAAGAGGAUCGCGGAAUUCCCGGUGUAGAGGUGAAAUUCGUAGAUAUCGGGAGGAACACCGGUGGCGAAGGCGGCGAUCUGGGUCGAUACUGACGCUGAGGUGCGAAAGCGUGGGGAGCAAACAGG
rnacentral:rRNA from 1 species